ACUGCCCUUAGAGGCGUUGCAGGUGUGGCUGCUGUGUCCCAUGUGUGUCAGAAGGUGGCAGAGAGGAGAGAGGCUAUGUCUAUGCUUAGUGUUCAGUCCUAGGAAUAUCUGAUUAGCAUUCUUUGAAA